rnacentral:rRNA from 1 species
ACGUAGGGUGCAAGCGUCAAUCGGAAUUACUGGGCGUAAAGUGUGCGCAGGUGGCUGAGCAAGUCGAGUGUGAAAGCCCCGGGCUUAACUUGGGAAUUGCGCUCGAAACUACUUUGCUGGAGUGUGGCAGAGGAAGGUGGAAUUCCACGUGUAGCGGUGAAAUGCGUAGAGAUGUGGAGGAACACCAAUGGCGAAGGCAGCCUUCUGGGCCAACACUGACGCUGAGGCGCGACAGCGUGGGGAGCAAACAGGA